rnacentral:rRNA from 1 species
CUACGGGCGGCACCAGUGAGGAAUAUUGCACAAUGGGGGGAACCCUGAUGCAGCAACGCCGCGUGGAGGAUGACGCAUUUCGGUGUGUAAACUCCUUUUAUAUGUCAAGAAAAUGACGGUAGCAUAUGAAUAAGCACCGGCUAACUCCGUGCCAGCAGCCGCGGUAAUACGGAGGGUGCAAGCGUUACUCGGAAUCACUGGGCGUAAAGGACGCGUAGGCGGGUUGGAAAGUCAGGUGUGAAAUCCUACAGCUUAACUGUAGAACUGCACUUGAAACUUCUAAUCUAGAGUAUGGGAGGGGGAGAUUGAAUUAGUGGUGUAGGGGUACAAUCCGUAGAUAUCACUAGGAAUACCUAAAGCGAAGGCGAUCUCCUGGAACAUUACUGACGCUAAGGCGUGAAAGCGUGGGGAGCAAACAGGAUUAGAACCCCUGUAGUC